GACGAACGCUGGCGACGUGCCUAAUACAUGCAAGUAGAACGCUGAAGGAGGAGCUUGCUUCUCUGGAUGAGUUGCGAACGGGUGAGUAACGCGUAGGUAACCUGCCUGGUAGCGGGGGAUAACUAUUGGAAACGAUAGCUAAUACCGCAUAAUAGUAGAUGUUGCAUGACAUUUGCUUAAAAGGUGCAAUUGCAUCACUACCAGAUGGACCUGCGUUGUAUUAGCUAGUUGGUGGGGUAACGGCUCACCAAGGCGACGAUACAUAGCCGACCUGAGAGGGUGAUCGGCCACACUGGGACUGAGACACGGCCCAGACUCCUACGGGAGGCAGCAGUAGGGAAUCUUCGGCAAUGGACGGAAGUCUGACCGAGCAACGCCGCGGGAGUGAAGAAGGUUUUCGGAUCGUAAAGCUCGGUUGUAAGAGAAGAACGAGUGUGAGAGUGGAAAGUUCACACUGUGACGGUAUCUUACCAGAAAGGGACGGCUAACUACGUG
rnacentral:rRNA from 1 species